AGGCAAGCGAAUCAAGGGCGCAUGGGGGAUACCUAGGCUCUCAGAGGCGAUGAAGGACGCGGUAAGCUGCGAAAAGCUGCGGGGAGUGGCACACACACGUCGAUCCGCAGGUGUCCGAAUGGGGCAACCCGGCUGGUUGAAGACCAGUCAUCCUUUUAAAGGAAGCGAACGGGGGGAACUGAAACAUCUAAGUACCCCUAGGAGAAGAAAACAAGAGUGAUUCCGCAAGUAGUGGCGAGCGAACGCGGAGAAGCCCAAACCGGAUCUGUUACGGCAGGUUCGGGGUUGUAGGACUGUUCAAGUGGUCAACAAGUGAAGCCGAACGCUUUGGGAAAGGCGAUCGUAGAGGGUGAGAAUCCCGUAGGCGUAAGCGCGUUGAUUGAGACAGGAUCCUGAGUAGGGGGGGACCGGAGGAAUCCCCUUUGAAUCCGGCGGCACCAUCCGCCAAGGCUAAAUACUCCUGAGAGACCGAUAGUGAACGAGUACCGUGAGGGAAAGGUGAAAAGUACCGCGAGUAGCGGGGUGAAAUAGACCUUGAAACCAUGCGCCUACAAGCGGGCGGGGCCCCUUCGUGGGGUGACGCCGUGCCUUUUGCAUAAUGAGCCUACGAGUUACGGUCACUGGCCAGGUUAAUGCUUUCAAGAGCAGGAGCCGAAGCGAAAGCGAGUCUGAAUAGGGCGACAAAGUCAGUGGCUGUAGACGCGAAACCCGGUGAUCUACCCUUGGUCAGGUUGAAGCUUUGGUAACACAAAGUGGAGGACCGAACCGGUAAACGUUGAAAAGUUUUCGGAUGAACUGAGGGUAGGGGUGAAAGGCCAAUCAAACCGGGAAAUAGCUCGUACUCCCCGAAAUGCCUUUAGGGGCAGCGUCGAGGUUGAGUCAUGGUCAGGUAGAGCUACCGAUUGGACUAGGGGGAGUCAAAUCCUACCAAAUCCAGACGAACUCCGAAUGGGCGAUGAUAUACUCGGCAGUGAGGGCUGGGGUGCUAAGGUCCCAGUCCGAGAGGGGAACAACCCAGAGCAUCGGCUAAGGUCCCCAAAUCCAGACUAAGUUGAACUAAGGGGGUCCGACUGCAGAGACAGCCAGGAUGUUAGCUUGGAAGCAGCUAUACAUUUAAAGAGUGCGUAACAGCUCACUGGUCGAGCGGGGCGGGCAUCGAUAAUAAACGGGCAUCAAGUCUGGUACCGAAGCCAUGCGAUUGAAAAAUCGGUAGGGGAGCAUUCCCAGGGGGGUGAAGUUGUAGCGUGAGCUAUGGUGGACCGCUGGGAAAAGCAAAUGUAGGCAUAAGUAACGAUAAUGCGUGCGAGAAACACGCACACCGAAAGACCCAGGUUUCCUCCGCUAUGCUAAUCAACGGAGGGUCAGGCGGGGCCUAAGGAGUAGCCGAAAGGCGAAGUCCGAUGGACAACCGGUUAAUAUUCCGGUCCUUGCCGUUAGUGUGAAGAAGUGACGGAGUUUUGUGGUUGCUACGUUCUGACGGAAUAGAGCGUUGAGCCGAGCCUACGGGCGAAGCGAAGCAGCGAAAAGACUUCCAAGAAAAGCUUCUGAAACAUCAGCUGACGGCAACCCGUACCGUAAACCGACACAGGUGGUCGAGAAGAGAAUUCUAAGGUGCUCGAGUGAAUCACGGCUAAGGAACUCGGCAAAUUAACCCUGUAACUUCGGGAGAAGGGGAGCCUCCUUACGCAAGUAAGAGGUCGCAGAGAAAUGGCCCAGGCGACUGUUUAGCAAAAACACAGGACUCUGCCAAAUCGUAAGAUGACGUAUAGGGUCUGACACCUGCCCGGUGCCGGAAGGUUAAGAGGGGAUGUUAGUGCGCAAGUGCGAAGCAUUGAAUCGAAGCCCCGGUAAACGGCGGCCGUAACUAUAACGGUCCUAAGGUAGCGAAAUUCCUUGUCGGGUAAGUUCCGACCUGCACGAAUGGUGUAACGAUCUGGGCACUGUCUCGGCCGUGAGCUCGGUGAAAUUGUAGUAGCGGUGAAGAUGCCGCUUACCCGCCACGGGACGGAAAGACCCCGUGCACCUUUACUAUAGCUUUGCAUUGGUUUCGGGUCAGGGAUGUGUAGGAUAGGUGGGAGGCUGUGAAGUGGUGUCGCCAGGCAUCAUGGAGCCACCGUUGAAAUACCACCCUUCGCUGGCCUGGGAUCUAACUUCUUUAAAAGAAGGACCGUGCAUGGUGGGUAGUUUGACUGGGGUGGUCGCCUCCGAAAGGGUAACGGAGGCUUCCAAAGGUCGGCUCAGUACGCUUGGUAACCGUACGUGGAGUGCAAUGGCACAAGCCGGCUUGACUGCCAGACCGACGGGUCGCGCAGGUGGGAAACCAGGGCAUAGUGAUCCGGUGGUUCUGUAUGGAAGGGCCAUCGCUCAAAGGAUAAAAGGUACGCCGGGGAUAACAGGCUGAUCUCCCCCAAGAGCUCACAUCGACGGGGAGGUUUGGCACCUCGAUGUCGGCUCGUCACAUCCUGGGGCUGGAGAAGGUCCCAAGGGUUCGGCUGUUCGCCGAUUAAAGUGGCACGCGAGCUGGGUUCAGAACGUCGUGAGACAGUUCGGUCCCUAUCUGUGGUGGGCGCAGGAAGAUUGACGGGGGCUGCCCUUAGUACGAGAGGACCGGGGUGGACCCACCGCUGGUGAACCGGUUGUUCCGCCAGGAGCACGGCCGGGUAGCUAUGUGGGGAACGGAUAAGCGCUGAAAGCAUCUAAGUGCGAAACCGGCCCGAAGAUGAGUCUUCCACAUAAGGGUCGUUGGAGACGACAACGUUGAUAGGCCGCAGGUGUACGCGUUGAAAGACGUUCAGCUGAGCGGUACUAAUCACCCAAGAGCUUGCCUUU
rnacentral:rRNA from 1 species